rnacentral:rRNA from 1 species
GCGCGGCUGCUUGGGUACUACGAGCGAGUGCUUAAAACUCAAAGAACUUGGCGGCUUGUUAACUACCUAGGGGAAUAUGCGCCUUAAUCCGAUGAUCCCCGUUAUAUCUUACUGAGCCUUGAAAAAGUGCAGCUGGUGUAUUGCCGUUGUCAGCUUGUUGUUCGAGCAAAGAGAAACAGGCUUAAUGGAUCCUGGUGAUUACUUUCACGGGAAUCCAUGAAUUCAGGUCGUAAUACUGCCUAUGGCUCAAGGGAGCGGGUGUUACAAUUCAUAUUUGGAAUUACGGAUCCUCAUCGUGGAAUCUUGGGGUGAAGGUGAACUUAGGAGUAAGGAUAGAUUAAUAUGCUUUCCUGAACAUGAAUCUAACUCGUGUACAAACUGCCCGUCGCUCUCGGCGAGAGCUGAGAUAAGUCGUAACAGG